rnacentral:rRNA from 1 species
ACACAUGCAAGUCGAGGGGCAGCAUGGUCUUAGCUUGCUAAGGCCGAUGGCGACCGGCGCACGGGUGAGUAACGCGUAUCCAACCUGCCUUACACUCUUGGACAGCCUUCUGAAAGGGAGAUUAAUACAAGAUGUUAUCAUGAGUAAGCAUUUUCGCAUGAUUAAAGGUUUACCGGUGUAAGAUGGGGAUGCGUUCCAUUAGAUAGUAGGCGGGGUAACGGCCCACCUAGUCUUCGAUGGAUAGGGGUUCUGAGAGGAAGGUCCCCCACAUUGGAACUGAGACACGGUCCAAACUCCUACGGGAGGCAGCAGUGAGGAAUAUUGGUCAAUGGACGAGAGUCUGAACCAGCCAAGUAGCGUGAAGGAUGAAGGUUCUAUGGAUUGUAAACUUCUUUUAUACGGGAAUAAACGAAUCCACGCGUGGAUUUUUGCAUGUACCGUAUGAAUAAGGAUCGGCUAACUCCGUGCCAGCAGCCGCGGUAAUACGGAGGAUCCGAGCGUUAUCCGGAUUUAUUGGGUUUAAAGGGAGCGUAGAUGGGUUGUUAAGUCAGUUGUGAAAGUUUGCGGCUCAACCGUAAAAUUGCAAUUGAUACUGGCAGUCUUGAGUACAGUUGAGGUAGGCGGAAUUCGUGGUGUAGCGGUGAAAUGCUUAGAUAUCACGAAGAACUCCGAUUGCGAAGGCAGCUUACUAACCUGUAACUGACAUUGAUGCUCGAAAGUGUGGGUAUCAAACAGGAUUAGAUACCCUGGUAGUCCACACGGUAAACGAUGAAUACUCGCUGUAGGCGAUAUACAGUCUGCGGCCAAGCGAAAGCAUUAAGUAUUCCACCUGGGGAGUACGCCGGCAACGGUGAAACUCAAAGGAAUUGACGGGGGCCCGCACAAGCGGAGGAACAUGUGGUUUAAUUCGAUGAUACGCGAGGAACCUUACCCGGGCUUAAAUUGCAACCGAAUAUGGCGGAAACGCUAUAGCUAGCAAUAGCGGUUGUGAAGGUGCUGCAUGGUUGUCGUCAGCUCGUGCCGUGAGGUGUCGGCUUAAGUGCCAUAACGAGCGCAACCCUUGCCGAUAGUUACUAACAGGUCAUGCUGAGGACUCUGUCGGGACUGCCAUCGUAAGAUGUGAGGAAGGUGGGGAUGACGUCAAAUCAGCACGGCCCUUACGUCCGGGGCUACACACGUGUUACAAUGGGGGGUACAGAGGGCUGCUACCACGCAAGUGGAUGCCAAUCCCAAAAACCUCUCUCAGUUCGGAUUGAAGUCUGCAACCCGACUUCAUGAAGCUGGAUUCGCUAGUAAUCGCGCAUCAGCCACGGCGCGGUGAAUACGUUCCCGGGCCUUGUACACACCGCCCGUCAAGCCAUGGGAGCCGGGGGUACCUGAAGUGCGUAACCGCAAGGAGCGCCCUAGGGUAAAACUGGUGACUGGGGCU